GAGACACAGGCAGAGGGAGAAGCAGGCUCCAUGCAGGGAGCCCGAUGCGGGACUUGAUCCCAGGUCUCCAGGAUCACGCCCUGGGCGGAAGGCAGAUGCUCAACCACUGAGCCACCCGGGGGUCCCUUGUUAAGUGUUUUAGAAGCAUUAUCUGCAAAUGCUGCAGGAGACCGGAAGGGAUCAAGGGCCUGGUGACCAGGGGGUUCCCGGAAGAGGGGUGCUCAACAAAGGCCUUAGGGAAGCUUCUGGUCUCUUCCCACACUCAGACAUCCUGACCGCACGUCCCCCACAGGCCCUCGUGUGCCUGGCACGCUUUGCCCCUGUCUACCCGGAGACACCUGCCUCUCCUGCGGGGGUGUGGGAGACACCCCGUAGGUGAGGAAGCAGUAUCGGAUGCAAAGGGCUCAGGUGGCAUGGGGCCCGACCUGCAGCAGGCCUGCAACAACUAGCGUCGCUGCUGAUGCUGUGGACGGCCCUCGGUCGAUAUUCUGAUUAAGCGGAAGGUGAUGGAUAGUGUCGUGAACACAGAGAGAGGCACCGUGCAAAGAGCUCGCUUGGCCCGGGACAGAGGUGGGAGCACUUCGGAGCAUCGACGGCUACCUCUUUAUGGACGGGUAAGCACAGAGGCUCACAGAGGCAGCCCCCACGCAGAACCCGCGCAGGGGCUCCCCUCUCUCCGGGGCUGGGUAAGGGGUUGUGCGGAGAGGGUGCCGGGGGUGGGCACCUUCCCCUAGAGUCCUAUCGACCUGGGGAUCUGUUCACUCACAUUUCUACCCCCUUCAGUGUAUCUGAUUUUGUUUGCUCCAUUUUAUUCUUUGUAUAUUGAUGAUGAUUGUUUAGCUAAUUAGUCUGAAGACAUUCUGGCUGGAUUUGGGGGAAAUUAAAGACCUCCUCUUAAUUGUGCCAUGUUUUGG